UACGGAGGGUGCAAGCGUUAUCCGGAUUUACUGGGUUUAAAGGGUGCGUAGGUGGGUUUGUAAGUCAGUGGUGAAAUCUCCGAGCUUAACUCGGAAACUGCCAUUGAUACUAUCAGUCUUGAAUAUUGUUGAGGUUUGCGGAAUGGGUCAUGUAGCGGUGAAAUGCAUAGAUAUGACCCGGAGCACCUAUUGCGAAGGCAGCAGGCUAAACAAAGAUUGACGCUGAGGCUCGAAAGCGUGGGGAUCAAACAGG
rnacentral:rRNA from 1 species